UACGUAGGAGGCGAGCGUUGUCCGGAGUUACUGGGCGUAAAGGGUGCGCAGGCGGUGGCCCGCGUGGGCGGUGAAAGCUCCUGGCUCAACUGGGAGAGGGCCGUCCAGACGGGGUCACUUGAGGGGCGGAGAGGGGCGUGGAAUUCCGGGUGGAGCGGUGAAAUGCGUAGAGAUCCGGAGGAACACCGGUGGCGAAGGCGGGUCUCUGGGCAGUAACUGACGCUGAGGAGCGAAAGCGUGGGGAGCGAACAGG
rnacentral:rRNA from 1 species